rnacentral:rRNA from 1 species
GGAGGAGGUGGGAUGACGUCAAAUCAUCAUGCCCCUUAUGACCUGGGCUACACACGUGCUACAAUGGUUGGUACAACGAGUUGCGAGUCGGUGACGGCGAGCUAAUCUCUUAAAGCCAAUCUCAGUUCGGAUUGUAGGCUGCAACUCGCCUACAUGAAGUCGGAAUCGCUAGUAAUCGCGGAUCAGCACGCCGCGGUGAAUACGUUCCCGGGUCUU